GCUCUGUAUAUUUACAUUAUGAAAGAAAAAGGGAGAGAUGAUUGGCUCUGAUGUCACUGACCACACCCACACUAUUCAUAAACAGUAGUUUAAUCCAUGCAUCCAUCUACAUACAGCAUUUAUCAAAAGUGAAUGGGUGUGCAUAUGAAUCUCAAAAAUGAUAAAUAGUGAAACCUCCUAAAGAUCAAAACCCACUUGAAACAUACUGGUAUUUAAACUAAGGUACAGUAUUAGCAUGGAGGCCUGUCUGCUAGUGAUUCUCAUGACAAUUUCAGGUGUGUUUGCUGCUGACAGCAUUGGACCAAAUGACAAGGAUACUAAUAAGACCAGCAGAGAAGGAGAGUCUGUGACACUGAGAUGCUCAUAUGAUACAAGCAGCAGUUAUGUUAUUCUUUACUGGUACAGACAGUAUCCUAACACAGAACCUCAGUAUUUACUGCGGAAAGGUGCUCGAUCAUGGAGCCAUGAGGAGAACAUACCAGACCGUCAACGGUUUCAGUCGACUACAUCCCAAACAUCCACUGAACUCACUAUUAACAGUGUAACUCUGUCAGAUUCAGCUCUCUAUUACUGUGCUCUAAGAGUUGGAGCCCAGUGAUACAAAAUGCCUGAGAGGCUUUACAAAAACUCAUACACAUAAUUCUUGGUUUAAAACUUAAUUAUCAAAUGUGUAUUAUACCACAUGUACCACUGAGACUGUAAAUAUUAGAAUGUGG